UGUCUGUGCAGACAGUGCCCAGUUGUGAUGGUCUGGUUCUGUGCAGGGAUCACUGGAGCCAGGGGAAUCGCUGCCACUGAAGCUGAAGCG
rnacentral:snoRNA from 1 species